GCGGCUGUGGUGAAACGGUAGACACACUACCUUGAGGUGGUAGCGCCCUACGGGUGUGCGAGUUCAAAUCUCGCCAGCCGCACCA
rnacentral:tRNA from 1 species